rnacentral:misc_RNA from 1 species
CUGUCCUCUCCAUCAUCGCUGCCUCGCCCCCUCCACCGCUGCUUGAUCACGUCACAGUGGCCUGAUUACCGUCGGCUAGGUAGAGUUUCCUUUCGCAAGCUCCUGUCUUUCUCAUCGCUCAGAGAGGACAACCACAACGUCACUUGUGUGCCUCUACCUCACUCCCUGGUACGUGAAAGGCAAUUCUGAGGGAUACAGUGUUGGUUCGCCAUGCAGCCUGUUCAAAGUCCUCCAGUAGCCCCGCCGUCGGUACCGGUCGCGGCGCCAAAGAAGACCCCGAUUGAUAUAUCUGCGCUGAAGCUCAAGAUGUCGCCCAGCGUUCGAGCAACCCUGGCUGCUGCUGGUGUGCUUGGCCAGUGCCCUCGGCCGAUUGAGGCAGCUGACGAGGAUGCGCUGCUUAAGCUGAAGCCGAUGAAGACAAUGGUGCCCUCCGUCAAGAAAGUUGUGGCGCCGGUUGCAACGACGGCUCCGCCGCCGAAGGUGCGCCGCGUCGAGAGCAGUUCCAGCUCAUCGUCCGAUAGCUCGUCCUCGUCCUCCGAUGACGACUCCAGCAGUGAUGACAGCUCCGGCUCGGACUCUUCGUCCUACUCCUCCGACGAUCGCUCCUCCUCGUCAGCUGAGUCAGUGGUGUCAGGGGAGGCAACGCUCUUCCACAUUGCCCAGUCUCAAGGCCUGGUGAACAAGGAGGUCCUGACACAGGAAGAGGAGGAAGUCCCCACGCUGGUGCCUCCGCGUCCUCCGGUGGUGCGAUCUUUCCCCAAUGACAUCGGCAAGGCUCUGGAACGCUACCGGGAACGACUCAACCGCGAGGAGAACAUCAUUCGCAUCAAGGAUGACAACAAGGCUGUGUCGCUCGGCACCAGUAAAAUCAACUACAUCGACCCCCGUAUCAUCUGCUCGUGGGCAAAGGCGCAAGACGUGCCGAUCAACAAGAUCUUCUCUGCAACCAUCCAGAAGAAGUUCCCGUGGGCCAUGAAUGCCGAGAACUUCGAUUUUUGAGCGAGGUCGGCGCGACUUGAUCUCCUUAGAACGAUGAUCUCGACGGCAGCGCUCCACGUGUACCUUUAAUUUACAUGCCGCCCCCCCCCCUGCCCUCGUUUGUACGCUGUGGCUUCUCAUUCCCCCCCCCCCCACACACACACACGCACGCACACACCAACUGUCUCCGCGUUGUCGUGCGCCCUUCUCACUCCGCGCUGGCUGCAGAAGUGCGGCAAACAAGAGGGAGCGAGCGUGUGCGGGGCUUGGGAAGGGAGCGGGGGUGUUGUCACCGUUUGUGGAGGUGAUCUAUAGUGUGCGUGUGGAACAGCGUAUAAGCAGCAAGCGGUAAGCUAAGAAGGAUCGCCAAUCCUUCUUGCUAGAGACGGUGGCGGAGGUUGGAGAGGAAAAUGAGACAGCGCACCAUGCGCCAUGGUGUGGGCACGAGUUCUUUGGAGGGCGCUCAAUGUGUUCCUAGGAGAGCGUCUGCUUUACCGUGUUUCUCUCGCACAACCUCCACUCGAGUCCUCCUCCUCGUUCGCCUUUGCUCUCGUUCUGACAAGUGCGCGGAUGGCGUCAGCGGCUUCGCCGCAGCACACGUUAAGAUGACGAGGAAGUCGCACGUCGGCGAAACUGG